CUCUUCUUCUACAUAGCAUAGACUCAUCCAAGAAAGGCUAAAUAGGCUAAUUAUCCUACGAAAUGACAUAAUUAGCUUAGUUAGCUCCAAAAUGACCUAUACUUAGCUAAUUAUCCUCGAAAUGACAUAAUUAGCUCCAAAAAGGCAUUCUUAGCCAAUUUAGCCCGAAGAAGGGGACAAGAAGAGAAAAAGAGGAAAAAUGAAAGGAAGGAAGAGGAAGAAGAGGAGAAGAAGAAGGAGGAGAGG
rnacentral:lncRNA from 1 species